UGGGGAAUAUUGCGCAAUGGGCGAAAGCCUGACGCAGCAACGCCGCGUGAGGGAUGAAGGCCUUCGGGUUGUAAACCUCUUUUAGCAGGGAAGAAGCGAAAGUGACGGUACCUGCAGAAAAAGCACCGGCUAACUACGUGCCAGCAGCCGCGGUAAUA
rnacentral:rRNA from 1 species